rnacentral:rRNA from 1 species
AACGAACGCUGGCGGCAUGCCUAACACAUGCAAGUCGAACGAGACCUUCGUGUCUAGUUGCGCACGGGUGCGUAACGCGUGGGAACCUGCCCUUAGGUUCGGAAUAACUCCCCUAAAGGGGUGCUAAUACCGGAUAAUGUCUUCUGACCAAAGAUUUAUCGCCUUUGGAUGGGCCCGCGUUGGUUUAGCUAGUUGGUAGUGGAAAAGCCUACCAAGGCGACGAUCCAUAGCUGGUCUGAGAGGAUGCUCAGCCACACUGGGACUAAGACACGGACCAGAAUCGUAGGGGAAGGAGGAGAGGGGAAUAUAGGAAGAGGGGGGAAGGCAUGAUACAGCAAUGCCGCGUAAGUGAUGAAGGCCGUAGGGAUGUGCAGCUCUUUUACACGGGACGAUAAUGACGGUACCGGGAGAAUAAGCACCGGCUAACUACGUG